CUUUUUUCACCUAUAAAAUAAGAAUAUUAAACAAUUUUAUUGUCUUUUUUUUUUUUCCUGGAAAUCUUGAGAUUAUUGCCUCAGAGAGAUGUUGACACAGAAAUCCUGGAGCAGAGUGUGGAGAGGGUACUGUUCCCAUUCCCUGUCCAUCGGGAGCAGAGGGGAGUUCUGCGUUGCCUGGGCCACAAGAGCAUUUGUCCAGCUGAUUUCAAUGGACAUACGUAAAGUAAGGCAAAGAGAUGGGAGGCAUGAGAAAGACUUGACACACCAUUCCUGGUGUGAAGAUAGAGAAGGCUGUGUGAGGAAGAGAGUGAAUUAAGAGAAUGGAAAUGGAAGAGCCCCCUGAUCAAUAGCCAUCAAGGAAACAUGAACUCAGUCCUAUAGCUGCAAGGCACUGAAUUCUGCCAACAACUCUAAUGAGUCUGGAAGCAGAUCCCUCCGCAGAGCCUCCAGAUGAGAGCACAGCCUGGUCAACACCUGGACUUCAGUCUUCGGGAUCCUGAGCAUAGAAUCCAGUCGUGCUGUGCUCCGACUUCUGACCUAUAGAACCAUGAGCUGAUAAAUGGGUAUUGUUUUAAGCCUCUACAUUCAUGGUGAUUUGUUCCACAGAAAUAGAAAAAAUAUAUAUAUAUGGGACCAUACUUGAGUCCAAACACCAAACAGAGAAAGUGCUAGAGGAACUAAUUAGUCCCUUAUUUCCUCCAUCACAUGCUUUAGUUUUCUGCUGUCAUUGUUUCUGUUAAUGUGUUUACACUAUUGCUGUGGAAAAUGACUCAUGUGCAUGGUGAACAUAUCCUUGCCCACCAGUGUGGUGAAGCAUGUGUUAUCCAGUUCCCAGAAGAGUGUUAGUGUUCUUAAGAGAAGCUUGGGCUCACCAGCUUAGCAAUACAGAGUUACACCUGAAGAGGGUAUGUAGUCAAGGCUCAGUCAUUGUUUUUUGAAGAACACUGCUACACCAAGGUAGUUUGGUCCAGGAGUACUUUUGGUUGAAGCCAUGAAUAUGCUGGAAUCAGCCUUCCUCAAUAACAGUUGUGGCCAGUGGUAAAAAUCUCUUGGUCACACAGACUGCAGAAUGGUUUUGAUUUGCCAUCACACUUAAAUAUUGUUUCCUGUGAAGGGCAACUAUUGAAUUCUGUUCCCUUCAAAUCCAUAUGUUGAAGUCCUAACCAUUGGUACCUCAGAAUGUGACCUUAUUUGGAGAUAGGAUAUUUGGGGGGGCGGUGGCAGGGGGGUAUACUCACAAUAUGUGGAAGUUGCCAGAUAGCAGUGAUCCGAGCCGCUGCAGUGACAAUGUCAGAUCUUAACCCACUGCACCACAAGGGAACUCCGGAUCAUUAUAGAAGUAAUCAAAUUAAACUGAGGUCAUUAGGUUGGGCCCCAGUACAAUAUGGCUGGUGUCCCUUAUCAGAAGGGAAAUUUUGACACAGAAAUAAGAGGGAAGACCAUGUGAAGAAACGUAGGGAGAAGAUGGCCACCUACAAGCCAGGGAGAAAGGCCUAGAACAGAUCCUUCCUUCACAGCCCUCAGAAAGAAGGAACCCUGCUGACACCUUGAUUUUGGGAUUUUUGGCCAAAAAAAUAGGUAUGUGGGUAACGAGUACAUAUGUCCAUGGAAAUCAGCUGGUUUAUGAUAAUAAUAUUGGGAGAUGGGGGAAAGUGAAAAAAGAUUAGGUGCCACAAUCAGUGGUGUUUCCCCAGAAGGCCACCUCACAUGGUCUGUAAAGAAAUGAUGGAUGGGAAACAGCAGAUUUUCAAAACUGUGGGUGCUCAUUAGUUGUAAAGAAAGAAGGAGUAGAAAGAACGCUGAAGACUACAGAAAAAUAUGUACUGCUUCACCUUGAUUUGCC
rnacentral:lncRNA from 9 species